AUAUGGAAUGCUGACAAUCUACGAAUGUAUUAUCAGUAAAGUUGUCUUUAUGAUAUAAUAUAUUCAAAAUGACAUCUUCGGUUUCCAACAGACUUUAGCUGAAUAUUUAGCUAUCUAUAAAUAUGAUAUUUGAUCGAUGACCUAUGGGUUAAUUUACAUACUGAUCCGACUCUUGUCGAUCGAAGGAUAUUCUAUUGAUUUUCGUAUAUCAAAUAUUCAUAAAGGUAAUCGGUUAGUAUGCAAUUACAAAUCG
rnacentral:lncRNA from 1 species